UACAAGCCAUUGAAUGAAUUAGGAAGCCA
rnacentral:piRNA from 1 species